AUCGCCAUAACCAGAAAGACAUGCAUGAUAAUUGAUUUUAAAAACACAGAUUUAGUAAGAUACCAGAAAAGGAGUCAAUUCAUGAGUGGUGACUAAAGCACGUCUGCCUUAACUCCUUGGUGUCAUUUUCUGGGUUGGAUAAGAGUUAAUUGUUUUGAGAUGAGACGGACUCUGUAUGUUGGCAGGGCCUCUCUUUCAAAAACUUGAGUAAUGCUGACGAGGACGCGGAGGGUGCGCAGGGCCUCAUCUCGCAUGACGAGCUGGCCGAACAGUCCUCCCAGGAACCCCACGUCAUAGAUUCCGAAGCCCAACCCCAGUCAAUAGGGGCAGCUCAAAAAGGGGGUUCUCAUGGUCAUGAUGACGAUGAGUUCGACUUCGGUCAGAUCAUGAUCCUGCAAGCCAUCCACACCAUCGAGUUCUGUCUCGGAUGUAUCUCGCACACCGCCUCCUACCUCCGACUGUGGGCACUCUCCCUCGCACAUGCCGAGCUCUCGGAGGUGCUGUGGAGCAUGGUGAUGGUCCAGGGUCUGAAUGGAACGCGAGGUCUGGUUGGAUGUGUUAUUGUUGUACCUGUUUUUGCAGCUUGGGCUUGUUUGACUGUGGCGAUUCUGUUGCUGAUGGAAGGAUUGUCGGCUUUCUUGCACGCGCUACGACUGCAUUGUUCAAAUUAAUUUGCGGAAAAGAACGAAAAUUACGCUCUCCAAUAACGAAAACACAAAUGGCGCAAAAAACGCGAGUGACGUUGAUAUUCAGAAGUGGGCUUAACUUAAAGAUUUCGCAGUGGAAUAAAAUAUUAUCUGUAGGUCCAUUUACGUUUUCUCUAAAUGGGCUGUUUGUUUAUCAAUAAAGUGUCUAUCAUAAAUUUAGCAAGUUGAAACCCAAAGAGCUUUAAAUUGAUACAUUUUUCAAUUUGAAACCAAGAAACGAUAAAAAAAUUAUAAAAUAAGCUUUUUUUCGGUUACCUUGAGGUCAUUAUCUCUUUUACAGCUGCUUGUUGGCUAUUUUUCUUGCCGUUGUGCCCACGAAGAGGGUUUUGUCUUUUUGUUCAAUCUACCUCAUCGUUAG